rnacentral:pre_miRNA from 1 species
AGUGCAACUGCUGGGUCAUAGGGUAGUUCUAUUUUUCAUUUUUUGAGGAACCUCCAUACUGUUUUCCAGAGUGGCUGCACCAGUUUGCAUUCCCACCAGCAGU